ACGGGAGGCAGCAGUGGGGAAUAUUGGGCAAUGGGCGCAAGCCUGACCCAGCGACGCCGCGUGAAGGAAGAAGGUCUUCGGAUUGUAAACUUCUUUUAUGUGGACGAAGAAAAUGACGGUACCACAUGAAUAAGCCACGGCUAACUACGUGCCAGCAGCCGCGGUAAUACGUAGGUGGCGAGCGUUAUCCGGAUUUACUGGGUGUAAAGGGUGAGUAGGCGGGAUUGCAAGUCAGAUGUGAAAAUCAUGGGCUCAACUCAUGACCUGCAUUUGAAACUGUAAUUCUUGAGUAUCGGAGAGGUAAACGGAAUUCCCGGUGCAGCGGUGAAAUGCGUAGAUAUUGGGAGGAACACCAGUGGCGAAGGCGACUUACUGGACUGUUACUGACGCUGAGGCGCGAAAGUGUGGGGAGCAAACAGGAUUAGAUACCCUGGUA
rnacentral:rRNA from 1 species